GUAAACGGCGGCCGUAACUAUAACGGUCCUAAGGUAGCGAAAUUCCUUGUCGGGUAAGUUCCGACCUGCACGAAUGGCAUAAUGAUGGCGGCGCUGUCUCCAGCAGAGGCUCAGUGAAAUCGAAAUCGCUGUGAAGAUGCAGUGUACCCGCGGCUAGACGGAAAGACCCCGUGAACCUUUACUGCAGCUUGACACUGAACUUUGACCUUACUUGUGUAGGAUAGGUGGGAGGCUUUGAAGCUGGAACGCUAGUUCCAGUGGAGCCGUCCUUGAAAUACCACCCUGGUAAUGUUGAGGUUCUAACUCUGUCCCGUGAUCCGGGACGAGGACCGUGUCUGGUGGGUAGUUUGACUGGGGCGGUCUCCUCCUAAAGAGUAACGGAGGAGUACGAAGGUGCGCUCAGCGUGGUCGGAAAUCACGCGUAGAGUAUAAAGGCAAAAGCGCGCUUAACUGCGAGACCCACAAGUCGAGCAGGUACGAAAGUAGGUCUUAGUGAUCCGGUGGUUCUGUAUGGAAGGGCCAUCGCUCAACGGAUAAAAGGUACUCUGGGGAUAACAGGCUGAUACCGCCCAAGAGUUCAUAUCGACGGCGGUGUUUGGCACCUCGAUGUCGGCUCAUC
rnacentral:rRNA from 1 species